UAGGGAAUCUUCCGCAAUGGACGAAAGUCUGACGGAGCAACGCCGCGUGAGUGAUGAAGGUUUUCGGAUCGUAAAACUCUGUUGUUAGGGAAGAACAAGUAUCGGAGUAACUGCCGGUACCUUGACGGUACCUAACCAGAAAGCCACGGCUAACUACGUGCCAGCAGCCGCGGUAAUACGUAGGUGGCAAGCGUUGUCCGGAAUUAUUGGGCGUAAAGCGCGCGCAGGUGGUUCCUUAAGUCUGAUGUGAAAGCCCACGGCUCAAGCGUGGAGGGUCAUUGGAAACUGGGGAACUUGAGUGCAGAAGAGGAAAGUGGAAAUCCAAGUGUAGCGGUGAAAUGCGUAGAGAUUUGGAGGGACACCAGUGGAGAAGGAGACUUUCGGGUCUAUAACUGACAAUGAGGCGGGAAAGCGUGGGGAGCGAACAGG
rnacentral:rRNA from 1 species